rnacentral:tRNA from 1 species
GGCUCAUUUGGUCGGAGCAUGGUGCUAAUAACACCAAAGUUGUGGGUUUGAUUCUCAUAUGAGCCA